AUUGAACGCUGGCGGAAUGCUUUACACAUGCAAGUCGAACGGCAGCACGGACUUCGGUCUGGUGGCGAGUGGCGAACGGGUGAGUAAUGUAUCGGAACGUGCCCAGUCGUGGGGGAUAACGUAGUGAAAAUUACGCUAAUACCGCAUACGAUCUAUGGAUGAAAGCGGGGGAUCGCAAGACCUCGCGCGAUUGGAGCGGCGGAUAUCAGAUUAGGUAGUUGGUGGGGUAAAGACCCACCAAGCCAACGAUCUGUAGCUGGUCUGAGAGGACGACCAGCCACACUGGAACUGAGACACGGUCCAGACUCCUACGGGAGGCAGCAGUGGGGAAUUUUGGACAAUGGGCGAAAGCCUGAUCCAGCCAUUCCGCGUGCAGGAUGAAGGCCCUCGGGUUGUAAACUGCUUUUGUACAGAACGAAAAGGUUUCUACUAAUACUAGGAGCUCAUGACGGUACUGUAAGAAUAAGCACCGGCUAACUACGUGCCAGCCGCCGCGGUAA
rnacentral:rRNA from 1 species